GCCGGGCAUGGUGGCGUGUGCCUAUAGUCUCAGCUACUCAGGAGGCUGAGGCAGGAGGAUCUCUUGAGUCCAGGAGUUCUGGGCUGUAGUGUGCUAUGCCGUUUGGGUGUCCGCACUAAGUUUGGCAUCAAUAUGGUGACCUCCCAAUAGCGGGGGACCACCAGGUUGCUUAAGGAGGGGUGAACCGGCCCAGGUCAGAAACGGAGCAGGUCAAAACUCCCGUGCUGAUCACUAGUGGGAUUGCGCCUGUGAAUGGCCACUGCACUCCAGCCUGGGCAACAUAGCAAGACCCUGUCUCU
rnacentral:SRP_RNA from 1 species